GACGAACGCUGGCGGCGUGCUUAACACAUGCAAGUCGAGCGGUAAGGCCCCUUCGGGGGUACACGAGCGGCGAACGGGUGAGUAACACGUGGGUGACCUGCCCUCAGCUCUGGGAUAAGCCUGGGAAACCGGGUCUAAUACUGGAUAUGACUCCAUGACGCAUGUUGUGGGGUGGAAAGCCUUGUGCGGCUGAGGAUGGGCCCGCGGCCUAUCAGCUUGUUGGUGGGGUGAUGGCCUACCAAGGCGACGACGGGUAGCCGGCCUGAGAGGGCGACCGGCCACACUGGGACUGAGACACGGCCCAGACUCCUACGGGAGGCAGCAGUGGGGAAUCUUGCGCAAUGGGCGAAAGCCUGACGCAGCGACGCCGCGUGAGGGAUGACGGCCU
rnacentral:rRNA from 1 species